UAGGGAAUUUUGCGCAAUGGACGAAAGUCUGACGCAGCAACGCCAUAUGUGGGACGACGCUUUUCGGAGUGUAAACCACUGUCGUCAGGGAAUAAUGUGCAGCGUGAGUUGCAUUGAAUGUACCUGGAGAGGAAGCCCCGGCUAACUUCGUGCCAGCAGCCGCGGUAAUACGAGGGGGGCAAGUGUUGUUCGGAAUCACUGGGCGUAAAGGGGGCGUAGGCGGGAAGAUAAGUCAGGUGUUUAAUUCUAGGGCCCAACCCUGGGUGUGCACUUGAAACUGUUUUUCUUGAAUAGGACAGAGGUGGAUAGAAUUCCUGGUGUAGCGGUGGAAUGCGUAGAUAUCAGGAAGAAUACCAGAGGCGAAGGCGGUCCACUGGGUCCAUAUUGACGCUGAGGCCCGAAAGUGUGGGGAGCAAACAGG
rnacentral:rRNA from 1 species